AUCUGUCUGAUGAGUCCUAAAUAAGACGAAACGCGCAUCCUGGAU
rnacentral:hammerhead_ribozyme from 1 species